AUCCAGCUGACGUGUCUUAAAUAGGACGAAACUUGCGUCCUGAAU
rnacentral:hammerhead_ribozyme from 1 species